AAGAUCUCGUCAUUCUGUACUUUGAUUAAGCUUUUCUUUAUCGGCAGCGGAGGAGAGAUUUGCAGUGAAACCUAGCGCAGCAGUUCAACAUGAGAGCUAAGUGGAAGAAGAAGCGUAUGAGGAGGUUGAAGAGGAAGCGCCGAAAGAUGAGGCAGAGAUCCAAGUAGAAGCACGAAUCUGUUUCCUCCUACCUACAUCUUUUUAGGUUUAUCUGUGCUCUUUCUGUUUUUGUUUCGGAACGUUUUAGUAACAUGUCGGUCUGUAAUCCGAUAAUUUCUGCUUUGUGGAGUAGUCGAGAUUGCUAUCUUCAGUUUUACACAGUGAACUUAAGAGUGUGUUGCUUUAAUAUAUUUCUCUCUCAAUUUUAUUCCUUUUGUCUCGUUACUAUAGCGAUUAUCUGCAAAUAAAAAAGUAUUAAUCUCUCAAA